GACGAACGCUGGCGGCGUGCCUAAUACAUGCAAGUAGAACGCACAGUUUAUACCGUAGCUUGCUACACCAUAGACUGUGAGUUGCGAACGGGUGAGUAACGCGUAGGUAACCUGCCUGGUAGCGGGGGAUAACUAUUGGAAACGAUAGCUAAUACCGCAUAAUAUUAAUUAUUGCAUGAUAAUUGAUUGAAAGAUGCAACUGCAUCACUACCAGAUGGACCUGCGUUGUAUUAGCUAGUAGGUGAGGUAACGGCUCACCUAGGCGACGAUACAUAGCCGACCUGAGAGGGUGAUCGGCCACACUGGGACUGAGACACGGCCCAGACUCCUACGGGAGGCAGCAGUAGGGAAUCUUCGGCAAUGGACGAAAGUCUGACCGAGCAACGCCGCGUGAGUGAAGAAGGUUUUCGGAUCGUAAAGCUCUGUUGUAAGAGAAGAACGGGUGUGAGAGUGGAAAGUUCACACUGUGACGGUAUCUUACCAGAAAGGGACGGCUAACUACGUG
rnacentral:rRNA from 1 species